UGAAACCUCAUCUCGAAAUUUAAAACGCAGUGGUUCAUUUCUAACAAGAUGAAGCAAAGUGCUUUUAUUUUUAUGCUGCGUUAUGAACUAAAAUAGACAGAAUUUACAUGCAUUUCCAAAGUGCUUCAAUAAAUCCAAGCACCAGUCGUCAGCCAAGGAGAGAUUUGACCACAAUUUCCCACCAGCUCAUGGCUUUGUCUCUUCGUGUCUCAAUUCUGCUUCUGUACAAUGUGGGUAUUUUUCCUCUCUCUGUCUUGUCUACGUGUGUUAAAGCUAUCAGAACUGAGACUGUCUCUGCUUUUAGCCCACAGAGGAUGGAGAUGUCUCUUUCAGAGCUCAGGAAUACAAUGACAAUGUUUAUUUGGCACUGAUUUCAGGAGCAACUGACUUAUAAUACAAGUAUACGGAGGGGUAAGGCCAACGUAUUCCACCUUUUUUUAAUCCUAAUUUACUGUGGAAGUCUCUGAAAUUCUGUCAUAGAGCCAUGGAAUGGCUGUGGUUGGAGGGGAGCUCAAAGCCCUCCCAGUGCCACCCCCAGCCAUGGGCAGGGCUGCCCCCCACCAGCUCAGGCUGCCCAGGGCCCCAUCCCACCUGGCCUUGAGUGCCUGCAGGGAUGGGGCACCCACAGCUCUCUGGGCAAAUGAGCGUGUCCAAAUCUGUGGCUGUUGCACUGACUCUGCCCCCCAGUCCUGUAGUCAGGGGAAAACAUUCUUUGUGUCAAAAGCUUCCUCGCGAAAGUAACUUUCUAUUGAAAAAAUAAGGUUCAGAUAGGUUACCAGAAACUUCAGCUAUUUCCACUCAUUUGUCCUCUUAAUGUUCUGCAAUUAGCCAUUUGUCCUCUUUAUAUUCUGUAAUUAAAAAAAAAAAAAACUAUUGACAUUGUAAUACUUAACCUAUAUUAAAACGACAUCCUCCCUCUGCUCAUUACUCCAGCCUGAAAUAAUAAUCAGAGUGUGCUAAAAUGGGAAAAUCCACAAGUGUGAGCAAAGCUCUGAAGGGAGCUAAUUAACAGUCCUCAAAAGUGCAGAAAUACAACUAAAAACUAUGACGCCAGCAAAGGAAAACAAAAAAAAAUUGUGUGACCUUUGAGUACUGCCCAUUAACAGUGACAGGAGAGAUGGGACUCACACAACCUUGGUCAUGGUACCCAGCUAAUAUCCCUGCUAAUUUUAGACAUCCCUCCAUGGCAGGCAGGGAAAGCCCAGUCAGUGCUGAAAUAUGUUUCCAUUGGGCGAUCUCAUCGAACUACAACAUCCUUGGAGUUGGAAGGGACCCCCAAAGGCCGCCUGGUGCCACUCCCUGCAGUGCACAGGGACAGCCACAGCUCCAGCAGUGCUCAGAGCCCCAUCCAGCCUGACCUUGGCUGUUUCCAAUUAUAGGGCAUUUAGGUUCAUUGAUCAAACAAGGAGAACAAAACAACAACGGAGAGGGGUGAGAAGAGCCUCAUUUUCCUCUUUGCAGUACGAAGAUAAGAACAUCUCUUUUCCAGGCUUCGGUCAAACACAUUCCUUCAGAGCAUUCUUCCUUUCCACACUGUGCCUCCUAAGGCGGCUGAUGGGUUCCUCACUACCGGAUCUCUGAGUUCUCUGCUCCCGAGACUGCAAGAUCUCCAGG
rnacentral:lncRNA from 1 species